rnacentral:lncRNA from 1 species
AAUGCCCCACAGGCGCUAACUUCUCGUUGCGGUGCAUGCAAGAGAGCCAUAAUCAUCCUCUGGCUCACAGAUGAGGACACUGGGGUACAGCAUGGUUAAAUACUUCACAAGGCCAUCCGGCUAGACUAUGAGGAUGCUCGCACUUCCAUCCAGUGCUGAAGCUAUCCAUAGAAAAUCUAGUUGUCAGAAGACCUCCAACCUUGACAAGGUUAGUCUGGGUUUACAGUCGAGUAGUUUGAUUUUUAAAGUAUUAUGAUGAUGAUGAUCAUUAUGGAGCUGUAGCAUGUACCUUCUAAUUUGGUUGUCAGGGGAGACAGGGAGUGGUAAUUAAGGCUAAAAGACGGAGAAUGAGAGCCUUAUUAAAGGGUAUAUGGAAGAUGGGAAUUUGAUCUGAGAAUUAGGCAGUGAUGAGCCUGCGGCUGCAGCUGUGGUGUUCUUGAGUGACAGAGGGACCGAGCAGGCAAUUAGAACGACAGGCGUCUGCCUAAUCUGUACAAUCCCGAACUCCAUCACAUCCAUUUAAAUUAAUUUUUAUGAAGCCUGCACGUUUAUAGCCUCACCAAAUUGGAAAUUUGUUUGUUUAUUGUCCACAGGAAGUAAUUUUAGGGGAGCAAACAGCACCGAGAGCAAUCCUGUCUUGCUUGUCUUUUUAACUUGUAAAAUUAAUAAUAGGAAAUGAAUCCGGAGGCUGCCGCCUUUAUGAAGGGCUGAUUGAUCCUUGGCAGCCGGGCACCAUCAUGAUCAUGGGAAGGUCAAAGGGAGGCAUGUAAAAGUCACCGCUGAUUGAGUCCCUGCGUGGAG